CUCAAUGAAAUUAAAUAGCCGCAAUUUUAUUGUGCUAAGGUAGCAUAAUCAUUUGUUUUUUAAUUAAAAACUAGAACGAAAGAUUUAACAUUUAUAUUUCUUUCUUGUAUGAAAUUAUUUAAUCUAUUUCAAAUAUAAAAAAAUAUUUAUCCAACAAAAAGACAACAAGACCCUAUUGAACUUAACUAAAGUUAAACUGGGGAAGUUAAUUAAAUAUAACUUUAAUUUAAAUAAAAAAAUAACCUAAUUUAAUUAAUCAUCAAGUUACCAUAGGGAUAACAGCGCAAUAAUUUUCACAAGAUCUUAUUUAAAAACUUGAUUACGACCUCGAUGUUGAAUUAAUAAUCUAUUAUACGCAAUAAUAUAACAAGAAAGUCUGUUCGACUU
rnacentral:rRNA from 1 species